rnacentral:SRP_RNA from 1 species
GCCGAGCCCAAUAGCGUUGGCUUGUAACCCAAGCGGGGGCAUAAGGGUGGUGGGAUGGCGUGUUGGGCGCGAGCGGGUUGGGUGUACGUUCAAGAACUCGGCUUGCCCAUUCCAAGUCAAGUAGAUGAGCCAUAUGAUCUGGGCGAAAGCCUGAGUCACACGGGAUCCUAAAGCGGAGGACACCGCGUCAGGCUGGCUUCACAGAGCAGCGACCACCUCCCGCUCUUAACGGUGGAAGGAUAACAGGCCGUCGUACGCCACACCCAACAUGCCCACCGAGCUUACACUGACCAAACCAUCCCUCUU